CCUACGGGCGGCAGCAGUGGGGAAUAUUGCACAAUGGGGGAAACCCUGAUGCAGCGACGCCGCGUGAGUGAAGAAGUAUUUCGGUACGUAAAGCUCUAUCAGCAGGGAAGAAAAUGACGGUACCUGACUAAGAAGCCCCAGCUAACUACGUGCCAGCAUCCGCGGUAAUACGUAGGGGGCAAGCGUUAUCCGGAUUUACUGGGUGUAAAGGGAGCGUAGACGGCAGCGCAAGUCUGUAGUGAAAUCCCAUGGCUUAACCAUGAAACUGCUUUGGAAACUGUGCAGCUAGAGUGCAGGAGAGGUAAGCGGAAUUCCUAGUGUAGCGGUGAAAUGCGUAGAUAUUAGGAGGAACACCAGUGGCGAAGGCGGCUUACUGGACUGUAACUGACGUUGAGGCUCGAAAGCGUGGGGAGCAAACAGGAUUAGAUACCCUUGUAGUC
rnacentral:rRNA from 1 species